rnacentral:rRNA from 1 species
UACGAAGGGGGCUAGCGUUGCUCGGAAUCACUGGGCGUAAAGGGUGCGUAGGCGGGUCUUUUAAGUCAGGGGUGAAAUCCUGGAGCUCAACUCCAGAACUGCCUUUGAUACUGAGGAUCUUGAGUUCGGGAGAGGUGAGUGGAACUGCGAGUGUAGAGGUGAAAAUUCGUAGAUAUUUCGCAAGAACACCAGUGGCGAAGGCGGCUCACUGGCCCGAUACUGACGCUGAGGCACGGAAAAGGCGUG